CGCGGCUUCAUUCUUGAAGUCAGUGAGACCAAGAACCCACCAAUUCCGGACCCACUGGCAUUACAGGCGUGAAUCACUGUGUCUGGCCAAAAAGGAUCUAAUCUUAUAGCAGUGGAAUGAGGGGGAAGCCCAGCAAGGCCCAUCUGUUUGGAGUCUUCCUGGACUUCUGGGGCCUGACCCUUUUGGAACGGGGGUUUUAAGAUUCAUAAUCGACAAGGUUGUUCCUACUUUGGCCAUUGGAGCUCUUUCCAGUUAGCUU
rnacentral:lncRNA from 1 species